AUUGAACGCUGGCGGCAGGCUUAACACAUGCAAGUCGAGCGAGCGGCGGACGGGUGAGUAAUGUCUGGGAAACUGCCUGAUGGAGGGGGAUAACUACUGGAAACGGUAGCUAAUACCGCAUACCAUCAGAGGUGCCCAGAUGGGCUUAGCUUGUGGGUGGGGUAAUGGCUCACCUUGGCGACGAUCCCUAGCUGGUCGGAGAGGAUGACGAGCCACACGGGAACUGAGACACGGUCCAGACUCCUACGGGAGGAAGCAGUGGGGAAUAUUGCACAAUGGGCGCAAGCCUGAUGCAGCCAGGCCGCGUGUGGGAAGAAGGCCUUCGGGUGGUAAAGCACUUUCAGCGAGGAGGCGUUACUCGCAGAAGAAGCACCGGCUAACUCCGUGCCAGCAGCCGCGGUAAUAC
rnacentral:rRNA from 1 species